rnacentral:lncRNA from 1 species
CAGCUCUAAAAAUAUUCAAUUAUUAUCCUCACACCCACAAGAAGGUUCAAUAUAAACACAUAUUACACCACAAUGAAAAUAUGUUUAUAAACAUGCACAUACAUUGAACGCAAGUUGACAAACAAAUUAACCUAGAGGAAGCAUAGUUUUGACCAUCUUAACAAUCAUCUAACACAAGUCACAAAAAGAUAAGGACUAUUGGUUACUAUGAGAGACUUCAGAUGGUCCAGAACACACAAGUUUGUAUCUACAUGCACAAAGUGCAAGCUCCAAAACACUCGAAACACCAAAUGGUCUACAAGACAAUAAGGUCCAUAAUUACAGGUUGGUUGGUCCAUAAACGCUAGAGAGUCAUCAUGUCCAUGUGCAUCAAUAGGUUGAGUACCUGAAAACAUUUUGCACAAAUUUGUGAAGAAAGUGGAACCAUAUCAAGUUGUUCAAAUCUCAUAUGCGUAUUAAAAAUAUUCGAUCAAAAGAUUAUCAUGAUAUCAUAGUUAACAAUAUAGUUUCGAUAAAAGUUACCCACUUGUUAUAGCAGAAGUUUUGUCACUUUAUAUUAAACAAUCUUAAAAGUGAUAUCAUAUACACUCUAACCCAUCUAUUAGGAUUUUUGGAGGAACCCUAAAUGAUCUACUUAGUCUUUUGCCAAAAUUCCAACAUAAACUAUGGGUAAUUUUUUACGAAAAAAGAUCAUUCUUAACAAUUACUUUAGCUGCACUAUGGUUACCAUGCCACCUCGCACCCUUC